CAGUCGCCGCGGUAAUACGAAGGGGGCAAGCGUUGUUCGGAAUUACUGGGCGUAAAGGGCGCGUAGGCGGUGCACUAAGUCAGGCGUGAAAGCCCUGGGCUCAACCCGGGAACUGCGCUUGAUACUGGUGCGCUUGAAUCCAGGAGAGGUUGGUGGAAUUCCCAGUGUAGAGGUGAAAUUCGUAGAGAUUGGGAAGAACACCGGUGGCGAAGGCGGCCAACUGGACUGGUAUUGACGCUGAGGCGCGAAAGCGUGGGGAGCAAACAGGAUUAGAUACCCCAGUAGUCCCUGUCUCUUAUAC
rnacentral:rRNA from 1 species